rnacentral:lncRNA from 1 species
UUUGUUUUGCCUCAGUUCAGCAAAAGGUCACAGACCACACAUCACUGAUCUCCAGGAUAAAACAGUUGUUUCAACAAAUAACUUGAAAGAAGAAAGAUGGAAGAGGAGAAAAAGCAAAGACUGAGAGACUUGAGGUGGUCGACAAUAUCGGGACUUUACUUGGCUCCUGAUUAGAAUAUGCUGGAAAAGCUGAGAUGGUUGUGAAUCGACUUGGGAAUAUUUGUGUAAUGCCCGGUGAAGUCAUGUCAGGUUAAAUUUCCGAGACUUAAACUUUUUAAAAAACACAACGCUUCAAGUCUUCUUUGGGAUGUAUGUGUAGUUACACGGAUCUGUAAAGACAUUUGAAAAUAUAUACACGUGGCCGGGUGCGGUAGCUCACUCCUGUAAUCCCAGCACUUUGGGAGGCCGAGGUGGGCGGAUCACAUGAGGUUAGGAGUUCUAGACCAGCCUGGCCAACAUGAUGGAACCUUGUCUCUACUAAAAAUACAAAAAAUUAGCCGGGCAUGGUGGCGGACGCCUGUAAUCCCAGCUCCUGGGGAAGCUGAGGCAGGAGAAUCACUUGAACCCGGGAGGUGGAGCCGAGAUCGCGCCACUGCACUCCAGCCUGGGCGACAGAGUGAGACUCCAUCUCAAACAAACAAAAAAUAUAUAUGUAUAUAUACACACACGUUUAUCAUAUCUCCUUUUGAGGAGACUGGAUAAACAGUGGUUGCCUCUGGGGAAGUUGAAAGAGGGGUGCAUGGGGGGAUGGGAGACAUCUGAGACCCUCUUAUACUGCUUGAGGUGUGUACAUGUGUUUGCAUUUGCUUUGUUGUUAUUUCACCUCAGGUGUACACAAUCAAUUAUUGGUACAUGAGGCAUUAUUACUGGCCUAUUGUUAGCCUACACUUGCCUACAUUUUUUAGGCUGCUUGCUUGCACCUCUGUUUAUUAUGAUAUAAUAAGUACUAGGGAACCUACUGCCCCAAAGUAGGACCUUAACCACAACCUACAUCUCUCUUUAUAUGGCCUCCUGAUGUCCCCUCCCCUCCUCUGCCCUACAACUUAAGAAUCAACAGCCUGACUCCUACAG